rnacentral:rRNA from 1 species
AGAGUUUGAUCCUGGCUCAGAACGAACGCUGGCGGCGUGCUUAACACAUGCAAGUCGAGUGCGCGUUCUUGUAGCAAUACAGGAAUGGCGCACGGCGCACGGGUGCGUAACACGUGGGUAAUCUGCCCUCUGAUGGGGAAUAACCCGCCGAAAGGCGGGCUAAUUCCGCAUAACAUUCCUUGGACUCCGGUUCGAGGAUUCAAAGGCGUAAGUCGUCGGAGGUGGAGCCCGCGCCCGAUUAGCUAGUUGGUGAGGUAACGGCUCACCAAGGCAAUGAUCGGUAGCUGGUCUGAGAGGAUGGCCAGCCACACUGGAACUGAGACACGGUCCAGACUCCUACGGGAGGCAGCAGUGGGGAAUCUUGCACAAUGGGCGAAAGCCUGAUGCAGCGACGCCGCGUGGGGGAUGAAGCUUCUCGGAGUGUAAACCCCUUUCGACCCGGACGAAUGCCCCGCAAGGGGAGUGACGGUACGGGUAUAAGAAGCCCCGGCUAACUACGUGCCAGCAGCCGCGGUAAGACGUAGGGGGCCAGCGUUGUUCGGAAUUACUGGGUGUAAAGGGUUCGUAGGCGGUGUGGCAAGUUGGGAGUGAAAUCUCUGGGCUCAACUCAGAGGCUGCUUCCAAAACUGCCGUGCUGGAGUGUGGGAGAGGCGCGUGGAAUUGCAGGUGUAGCGGUGAAAUGCGUAGAUAUCUGCAGGAACACCCGUGGCGAAAGCGGCGCGCUGGACCACUACUGACGCUGAGGAACGAAAGCUAGGGGAGCAAACAGGAUUAGAUACCCUGGUAGUCCUAGCCCUAAACGAUCAGGACUUGGGGUGCCACCCGUUCGGGUGUCGUCCCGGAGCUAACGCGUUAAGUCCUGCACCUGGGGAGUACGGUCGCAAGACUGAAACUCAAAGGAAUUGACGGGGGCCCGCACAAGCGGUGGAACAUGUGGUUCAAUUCGACGCUACGCGAGGACCUUACCUGGGCUCGAAAUGCUUCUGACCAGCUGGUGGAAAACACGGGCCUUCCG